rnacentral:rRNA from 1 species
GUCUACAGCCAUACCACCCUGAACGUGCCCUAUCUCAUCUGAUCUCAGAAGCUAAGCAGGGUCAGGCCUGGUUAGUACUUGAAUGGGAGAUAGAUGGAACCUAUCAGAUGGUAAGUAUUAGGCC